UUGGAAGAAGCCAAAAUAGCGGCAUAUCAUUGUUAAUGAUGUAAUUGGGCUUAAAUGAUCCCUUCCAAA
rnacentral:tRNA from 1 species